ACAAGGAUUGCCCUAGUAACGGCGAGUGAACCGGCAUCAGCCCAGACUGGAAAUCGCUUCGGCGAGUUGUACAGUUGAGACAUAGACCUUACACAGCGGAGCAGGUGUAACUCAGUUGGAACGCUGGACCGUAGAG
rnacentral:rRNA from 1 species